rnacentral:rRNA from 1 species
CCUACGGGAGGCAGCAGUGAGGAAUAUUGGUCAAUGGACGAGAGUCUGAACCAGCCAAGUAGCGUGAAGGAUGACUGCCCUAUGGGUUGUAAACUUCUUUUAUAUGGGAAUAAAAUGUUCCACGUGUGGGAUUUUGUAUGUACCAUAUGAAUAAGGAUCGGCUAACUCCGUGCCAGCAGCCGCGGUAAUACGGAGGAUCCGAGCGUUAUCCGGAUUUAUUGGGUUUAAAGGGAGCGUAGGUGGAUUGUUAAGUCAGUUGUGAAAGUUUGAGGCUCAACCGUAAAAUUGCAGUUGAAACUGGCAGUCUUGAGUACAGUAGAGGUGGGCGGAAUGCGUGGUGUAGCGGUGAAAUGCUUAGAUAUCACGAAGAACUCCGAUUGCGAAGGCAGUUCACUGGACUGCAACUGACACUGAGGCUCGAAAGUGUGAGUAUCAAACAGGAUUAGAUACCCUUGUAGUC